rnacentral:tRNA from 2 species
GCAGCUGUAGUUUAGAUGGUAAAACGCUCAAUUUAAUUUAAAUGAAAAUCAAAUCAAAAUCGAGAUUCGUGGGUUCAACUCCCAUCAGUUGCG